GACGAACGCUGGCGGCGUGCUUAACACAUGCAAGUCGAACGGAAAGGCCCUGCUUUUGUGGGUUUCUCGAGUGGCGAACGGGUGAGUAACACGUGAGUAACCUGCCCUUGACUUUGGGAUAACUUCAGGAAACUGGGGCUAAUACCGGAUAGGAGCUCUUGCUGCAUGGUGGGGGUUGGAAAGUUUCGGCGGUUGGGGAUAGACUCGCGGGUUAUCAGCUUGUUGGUGAGGUAGUGGCUUACCAAGGGUUUGACGGGUAGCCGGCCUGGGAGGGUGACCGGCGACAUUGGGACUACGGUACGGACCAGACUGCUACGGGAGGCAGCAGUCGGGAACAUUGCACAGUGGGCGGAAGCCUGAUGCAGCAACCCCGCGUGCGGAAUGACGGCCUUCGGGUGGUAAACCGCUUUCGCAUGUGACGAAGCGUGAGUGACGGUAAUGGGUAAAGAAGCACCGGCUAACUACGUG
rnacentral:rRNA from 1 species